rnacentral:rRNA from 1 species
GCCAUCAUUUAAAGAAAGCGUAAUAGCUCACUGGUCGAGUCGGCCUGCGCGGAAGAUGUAACGGGGCUAAACCAUGCACCGAAGCUGCGGCAGCGACAUGUUUAUGUUGUUGGGUAGGGGAGCGUUCUGUAAGCCGUUGAAGGUUGGUCGUGAGGCUGGCUGGAGGUAUCAGAAGUGCGAAUGCUGACAUAAGUAACGAUAAAGCGGGUGAAAAACCCGCUCGCCGGAAGACCAAGGGUUCCUGUCCAACGUUAAUCGGGGCAGGGUGAGUCGACCCCUAAGGCGAGGCUGAAAAGCGUAGUCGAUGGGAAACAGGUGAAUAUUCCUGUACUCGGUGUUACUGCGAAGGGGGGACGGAGAAGGCUAUGUCAUCCGGGCGACGGUCGUCCCGGUUUAAGCGUGUAGGUGGGCAGUCUUGGUAAAUCCGGAUUGCUGGUAACACUGAGGCGUGACGACGAGGCACUACGGUGCUGAAGUGACAGAUGCCCUGCUUCCAGGAAAAGCCUCUAAGCACCAGGUAACAUUGAAUCGUACCCCAAACCGACACAGGUGGUCAGGUAGAGAAUACUCAGGCGCUUGAGAGAACUCGGGUGAAGGAACUAGGCAAAAUGGUGCCGUAACUUCGGGAGAAGGCACGCCGGCACUAGGUGAAGUCCCUGGCGGACGGAGCCGAAGCCGGCCGCAGAUACCAGCUGGCUGCAACUGUUUAAUAAAAACACAGCACUGUGCAAACACGAAAGUGGACGUAUACGGUGUGACGCCUGCCCGGUGCUGGAAGGUUAAUUGAUGGGGUUAGCGGUAACGCGACGCUCUUGAUCGAAGCCCCAGUAAACGGCGGC